GAUGAACGCUGGCGGCGUGCCUAAUACAUGCAAGUCGAGCGAAUGGAUUAAGAGCUUGCUCUUAUGAAGUUAGCGGCGGACGGGUGAGUAACACGUGGGUAACCUGCCCAUAAGACUGGGAUAACUCCGGGAAACCGGGGCUAAUACCGGAUAACAUUUUGAGCCGCAUGGUUCGAAAUUGAAAGGCGGCUUCGGCUGUCACUUAUGGAUGGACCCGCGUCGCAUUAGCUAGUUGGUGAGGUAACGGCUCACCAAGGCAACGAUGCGUAGCCGACCUGGGAGGGUGAUCGGCCACAAUGGGACUGAGACACGGCCCAGACUCCUACGGGAGGCAGCAGUAGGGAAUCUUCCGCAAUGGACGAAAGUCUGACGGAGCAACGCCGCGUGAGUGAUGAAGGCUUUCGGGUCGUAAAACUCUGUUGUUAGGGAAGAACAAGUGCUAGUUGAAUAAGCUGGCACCUUGACGGUACCUAACCAGAAAGCCACGGCUAACUACGUGCCAGCCGCCGCAGUAA
rnacentral:rRNA from 1 species